rnacentral:rRNA from 1 species
CCUACGGGAGGCAGCAGUGGGGAAUAUUGCGCAAUGGGCGAAAGCCUGACGCAGCGACGCCGCGUGAGGGAUGAAGGCCUUCGGGUUGUAAACCUCUUUCAGCAGGGACGAAGCGAAAGUGACGGUACCUGCAGAAGAAGCACCGGCCAACUACGUGCCAGCAGCCGCGGUAAU